UAGCGGAGGAAAAGAAACCAACAGGGAUUGCCCUAGUAACGGCGAGUGAAGCGGCAACAGCUCAAAUUUGAAAUCUGGCUCUUUCAGAGUCCGAGUUGUAAUUUGCAGAGGGCGCUUUGGCUUUGGCAGCGGUCCAAGUUCCUUGGAACAGGACGUCACAGAGGGUGAGAAUCCCGUACGUGGUCGCUAGCUAUUGCCGUGUAAAGCCCCUUCGACGAGUCGAGUUGUUUGGGAAUGCAGCUCUAAAUGGGAGGUAAAUUUCUUCUAAAGCUAAAUAUUGGCCAGAGACCGAUAGCGCACAAGUAGAGUGAUCGAAAGAUGAAAAGCACUUUGGAAAGAGAGUCAAACAGCACGUGAAAUUGUUGAAAGGGAAGCGCUUGCAGCCAGACUUGCUUGCAGUUGCUCAUCCGGGCUUUUGCCCGGUGCACUCUUCUGUAGGCAGGCCAGCAUCAGUUUGGGCGGUGGGAUAAAGGUCUCUGUCACGUACCUCUCUUCGGGGAGGCCUUAUAGGGGAGACGACAUACCACCAGCCUAGACUGAGGUCCGCGCAUCUGCUAGGAUGCUGGCGUAAUGGCUGUAAGCGGCCCGUCUUGAAACCC
rnacentral:rRNA from 1 species